rnacentral:tRNA from 2 species
GCGGACGUGGUGAAACUGGUACACACGUAGGACUUAGGAUCCUAUGCCGUAAGGCUUGUGGGUUCGAGUCCCACCGUCCGCACCA